AACAGAUUUGUGGAAAUGGUGAGAAACUAUUUAAAAUCAACUCAAAAACAGUCAAAAACUUACUUAGAAAGUGAACUUAAAAGAGUUAUCGAACUUGUUAAUGGUGAAAACUUGGAAACUUGUGGCAAAGCUGUUAAACAUACCAAACAGAACUUUAAGGUGUCAUAUUAGUGGUUUGUGCAAAAGUAGUGUGGUUGGUGAAAGAGCUCUUUGCUAUCAGACGAGGAGAUGUCAAUUCCACAAUACAUUGCAACUUUUAGUGAUUUUGGACUAUUUACCGUUUGACUCCUGUCCUAAUUUAAUCUAGUGGGGACAAAAAGAAAGGACCGUGCUGAAAACAAAAAGGGUUGAAAGGAUCAGAUUUUUUUUAAUUAGUCGAAGUCGUUGCCAGCUCGUAUGAAAGGAGUUCUUGACGCGAAGUAGUUAACUUUAUUCAACAAUGCCAAGAAACAAAGCUAACUCAAGAAACAGAGGAGAAAGAUAAAGAUGAAAAAAUAUUCUAUUGAGCAAUAAUGCUGUUUUAUUUAUAAAUUAUUUUCCUAUGUUUAAACAUA